UUCACAAAAUGCCAUUAGCCAAGAAACGGUGUCGUUUCUGUGACCCCAAUCCGCCCUCCUCUUUCACCUUCCCACAUCCUCGACCGCCAGUCUCUCUCCCUCGCCGUGUUCAGUGCACAAACUGACAAGGUGGCAGAGAACCGAGUUGUGCUUUGAAUUGUUGUUAAGAUACUCCUAAUAUGAACAUUUUCAAGCAGCUAGCUUCCACCAGAUGUGGGUUUAAUGGUGGAAUGAAGUCUUGUAGAGCAACAUGUGUCUCUCUCCUCCAUUCAUCCUCAGGUACAUCGGUGGAAGUACAUUCCCAAGACCAGGAAGUAGUAAUUGCUCUAGGAAGCAAUGUGGGCAAUAGAGUUGACAAUUUCAAUGAGGCCUUGCAGCUAAUGAAGAAGUCAGGCAUGCACAUAACUAGACAUGGAUGUUUGUAUGAGACAGAGCCUGUCUAUGUGACUGAUCAACCUCUCUUUCUCAACUCUGCUGUUAGAGGUAUUACAAAACUUGGUCCCCAUGAACUACUCAGAGUUCUGAAGAAAAUUGAAAAGGAUAUGGGUCGGACUGAUGGAAUAAGGUAUGGUCCGAGACCAAUUGACCUGGAUAUUUUGUUCUAUGGGAAGUUCAGGGUUAACUCUGAGAUUCUUACCAUCCCCCAUGAAAGAAUUUGGGAGAGACCAUUUGUGAUGGCCCCAUUGAUGGAUGUAAUGGGAUCAGCUAUGGAGAGCGAUACGGUUGCAUCCUGGCAUUCUUUUUCAAAACUUAGUGGGGGACUAUUUGAGUCAUGGGAGAAACUUGGUGGUGAAUCCCUCAUUGGAAAGAACGGGUUGAAAAGGGUUUUACCCACUGGAAAUGUUUUAUGGGACUGGUCACUGAAAACCUCUAUGAUGGGUAUCCUUAAUCUGACCCCAGAUAGUUUUAGUGAUGGAGGGAAGUUCCAGUCUGUGGAGGCUGCAGUUUCUCAGGUCCGCUUGAUGAUCUUAGAAGGGGCAGAUAUUAUUGAUAUUGGUGCACAGUCCACACGCCCAAUGGCAUCUAGGCUUUCAGCUCAAGAGGAAUUAGAUAGGUUAAUCCCUGUCUUGGAUGCUGUUCUAAAGAUGCCUGAGGUAGAGGGGAAGCUGUUAUCUGUGGAUACUUUUCAUUCUGAAGUUGCUUCAGAAGCAAUUGGCAAGGGAGCUCAUAUUGUAAAUGAUGUAUCUGCAGGACAGCUAGAUCCUAACAUGCUUGAUGUUGUUGCCGGCCUUAAGGUUCCAUAUGUUGCUAUGCACAUGAGGGGGAACCCAUCUACCAUGCAGAAUAGCGAGAACCUGCAAUACGAUAAUGUUUGCAAGCAGGUUGCCUCUGAGUUAUACUUGCGAGUUAGAGAUGCUGAAUUAUCUGGUAUUCCAGCCUGGAGGAUAAUUAUUGACCCUGGAAUUGGAUUCUCAAAGAACACUGAACAUAAUUUGGACAUUCUCAUGGGGUUGCCAAACAUACGAACGGAGCUUGCAGGGAAGAGUUUGGCUCUCUCUCAUGCUCCUAUGUUGAUUGGACCCUCGAGGAAGAGAUUUUUAGGUGAUAUUUGUGCUCGCCCUGCUGCAGCUGAGAGAGACCCUGCAACCAUUGCUGCUGUGACUGCUGGGGUUUUGGGCGGUGCAAACAUUGUUAGGGCACAUAAUGUCAAAGAUAAUUUAGAUGCUGUGAAGCUCUGUGAUGCAAUGGUGAAGCGGGAGAGAUCUCAGGCAUGAUUUAACAUAGGAUUUUGCAUUUAAUUCUCCUUACCUUGGUCAGAGGCUACUACAAUGCAAAAACAAACAAGUAUGAGCAAAGCAGGGAGAACCGAGGUCAGCCAGUGAUCGAUGGAAGAGCUUUGCGGUGGCCAUUUAUCUUUAUGUAAACAUGCUGUUGUAAACUCUCAAAAAGCUUCUGUUGACAAGUGUGAGAUGGCAUGCAGACAGGAAGUUCAGAGAGGAGCAGAUGAAUUUGCUACAGUUGAUAAAAACUAGAAGGGACCCAUUUCAGUUCCUUAUAAGACAAGAAUUGCCGAAACCGCAACUGAAACCCUGGCCCCGUUGAUUCUUGUUAGCAGCUAUAUCCGAGCACAGUUGUAAUUCUCUACUGAUAGUCUCAGAUGAAAUGCAUUAUUAGUAAUAUGGUCUUGUUCAAGAUUAUUUCUAUACUAGUUUUAAAAUUAUUAGUGACAUGUCAGCCACCAAUUCUCAGUUUUAAGAUUGAAACUGCUAUAAUCGAAAAUCCAUGCUGAAGGUACAAAUAAACACAGGCACAGUGUCCAUCAA